CACAUAAGACAUGCAAGUCGAACGGAAGUCGUUAUACUGAUUUGAAAAGAACGGAGAACUUGUCAAAGGGACGUGAUGAAGAUUAUAACAAUGGCUUAGUGGCGGACUGGUGAGUAAAUACGUAAAGCAACCUGCCUAUUAGAGGGGAACAACAGUUAGAAAUGACUGCUAAUACCGCAUAUGCCAUAGUAACCACAUGGUUACAGUGGGAAAGGAGAAAUCCGCUGAUAGAUGGGCUUACGGCUGAUUAGCUAGUUGGUGGGGUAAAGGCCUACCAAGGCGACGAUCAGUAGCCGGACUGAGAGGUUGAACGGCCACAUUGGGACUGAGAUACGGCCCAGACUCCUACGGGAGGCAGCAGUCGGGAAUUUUGCGCAAUGGAGGAAACUCUGACGCAGUGACGCCGCGUGCAGGAAGAAGGUUUUCGGAUUGUAAACUGCUUUAGACAGGGAAGAAAAAGGACAGUACCUGUAGAAUAAGCUCCGGCUAACUACGUGCCAGCCGCCGC
rnacentral:rRNA from 1 species